GUGUCAGCAGCCGCGGUAAUACGGAGGGUGCAAACGUUGCUCGGAAUCAUUGGGCGUAAAGCGCACGUAGGCGGUCCAGCAAGUCGGAUGUGAAAUCUCUCGGCUUAACUGAGGAAGUGCAUCCGAAACUGCUGGACUUGAAUAUGGAAGAUGGUCGCGGAAUUCCUGGUGUAGAGGUGAAAUGCGCAGAUAUCGGGAAGAACACCCGUGGCGAAGGCGGCUCUCUGGAACGCAACUGACGCUGAGACGCGAAAGCGUGGGGAGCAAACAGGAUUAGAAACCCUGGUAGUCC
rnacentral:rRNA from 1 species